UACGGGGGGGGCAAGCGUUGUUCGGAAUUACUGGGCGUAAAGGGUUCGUAGGUGGCCCGCUAAGUCACACGUGAAAUCCCUCAGCUUAACUGGGGAACUGCGUGUGGGACUGGCGGGCUUGAGUGCAGGAGAGGAACGCGGAAUUCCAGGUGUAGCGGUGAAAUGCGUAGAUAUCUGGAGGAACACCGGUGGCGAAGGCGGCGUUCUGGACUGUAUCUGACGCUGAGGCGCGAAAGCGUGGGGAGCAAACAGG
rnacentral:rRNA from 1 species